GGAGUGUGUAGUCUGACUCGAUA
rnacentral:misc_RNA from 1 species